rnacentral:rRNA from 1 species
ACGAACGCUGGCGGCGUGCUUAACACAUGCAAGUCGCACGGAAAGGCCCUGCUUUUGUGGGGUGCUCGAGUGGCGAACGGGUGAGUAACACGUGAGUAACCUGCCCUUGACUUUGGGAUAACUUCAGGAAACUGGGGCUAAUACCGGAUAGGAGCUCCUGCUGCAUGGUGGGGGUUGGAAAGUUUCGGCGGUUGGGGAUGGACUCGCGGCUUAUCAGCUUGUUGGUGGGGUAGUGGCUUACCAAGGCUUUGACGGGUAGCCGGCCUGAGAGGGUGACCGGCCACAUUGGGACUGAGAUACGGCCCAGACUCCUACGGGAGGCAGCAGUGGGGAAUAUUGCACAAUGGGCGGAAGCCUGAUGCAGCAACGCCGCGUGCGGGAUGACGGCCUUCGGGUUGUAAACCGCUUUCGCCUGCGACGAAGCGUGAGUGACGGUAAUGGGUAAAGAAGCACCGGCUAACUACGUG